rnacentral:rRNA from 1 species
UACGGGGGGGGCAAGCGUUGUUCGGAAUUACUGGGCGUAAAGGGUUUGUAGGUGGCCGGCUAAGUCAGACGUGAAAUCCCUCAGCUUAACUGGGGAACUGCGUCUGGGACUGGUCGGCUUGAGGGCCGGAGAGGAACGCGGAAUUCCAGGUGUAGCGGUGAAAUGCGUAGAUAUCUGGAGGAACACCGGUGGCGAAGGCGGCGUUCUGGACGGCAUUGACGCUGAGGAGCGAAAGCCAGGGGAGCAAACGGG